rnacentral:lncRNA from 1 species
AUGCCUCUGACAUCUCGCCUCUUCCAGGAGAACGUUCUGCAUUUUUGUAGAAUCCAUGAAACUGGCCACAUGUUAAUCACCCCUUUCCCUUUGUCCCUUUCCAGGGCUCCUCAGCUCCUGUGUCGCUUGGCUCCAUUUCGCCUAACUGAGAACUGCCUCUUGUUCACCUGGGCAGCUUCAGAGGACCUGGCGGUGCGCUCUGCGGCUCGGGUUGGCUUGCUCACAUCAGUGUCCAGAUUCUUUCCCGCACUUUCGAGGGGCCCUGAGAUUACAGAAGAUGAGAAGUUUUGGAGAAGUUAAGGACUUGUCCAAGACUGCCCAGGAAGCAGGACCCAGGACUCCAGCCCAGGUUUGUCUGAGUCUUCUGCGGCGUGGAGAGGCGGGAGGGUGGAUGGAUGGAUGCCUGCCCCAGGGUGCGCAGUGGAUAGAGAGAUGGCUGGCUGGCUGGCGAGGGGGUGAAGGAAUCAAGAGCAGAGGGUGGGCGGAUGGGUGAAGGCGAGAGAAUAGUCAGGUUCUCACCAAGACCGGAGGCUCACUUGAUUUGUGAAGAGUGGUUGCCUCUGAGUGGAGCUGCUGGGGAAGCUCCUGCCUCGGAGUGUGCUCAGUGGCUCAGGUGGCUCUGGCACAACAGGUGGGCUGACAGCUCGUAGGGACCGAGUCCCAGGGGUCAGAGCUGCUCAGUGGCUGCUCUCAGCCCAGCUGCGUUCGCACUUCCCCGAGACCCAGCAGCCAGCCUCCUUUCCACCGACGCUCCUGGAUAACUGAGCCCUAAGGCCAACCCCAUGCUCAGGCUCUUCCUAGUCCCUCGGCAUAGCUUUGUGUCCUCUAAGUCAUUCCAGCCACCUUCCAUGAGAGCAGUUGCCAUCUUCAAUGAAGACAAAAGGAAACGGAGGUUUAGAAGUCGUCGGUGCCUUGUCCCAAAUCAUGUAGGGAGCAGAUGCAGAGCUGGGACUUGAACCCUCGUCUGCUCUUCUUCCAAAGCCAUACCCUCUCCCCAUUUUCCUUUCUCUGUGACUGUGCCUGAAAACAUUGGCACUCCUUGGGGUUCACCCAUGUCAGACUCACCCUCCUGGCCCCCCAGGGAGCCUGCCUUCAUAUCCCCCAGGCUUUAGAUUUAUGUCUCAAGUAACAUCUUCUCUAGUUGGUCCUAUUUGUAAUUAUCACACAUGCAGGGGCCAAACCCAUCACCGAUAUCCCGCAGGCUAAUGAUCAAGUUAUAAGUUGCUGGUGGCUCUGAUGACUAAGGGAAGCAGAUGUAGACCUGAAGCCCGAGAGGGCACAAGGCAAGAGGGGCUCGGGGAGAGGGCCGAGGGCAGACUGGCCGGCCUCCCUGAAGACCUGGCUCCAGUCCCGCAGACGCGUUCAGAUAAUCUGCUGAUGGACGAAGCCCUGUCCCACACAUGGCAGAUGCUCAGCUUGCAACCCCAGCUCUGCCAUUUGCUAGUUUUAUGAGUUCAGACAAAGUAUUCAACCCCCGCGCCUCACGUUCCUUCGUCAUAGUUUGGGGAUACCAGGAGUUCAUUCAUGGGUGCUUGAAGAUGGCAUGAGUCAGAUGUUGAAAGUGGUUCAAGCAAUGCUUCCCAUGUAAUGAGGACACAAUACGUAUUUCAUUACAAUUAAAAUGAUAAUUGCUCUGACUGAUCUCAUGGAGAUGGGGAGUUCUCUGUACCAAAGGGACGUGCUCCAUCAUCUGAAAGGUUAAGCCCGGGAAUAGGGGACAUUCCCCGGAAGGAAUUUUCUUGGAGCUUGAAGAGCGUGAGCGCGUUGGAUGGGAGCUGAGAAGAGGCUGAGCAGGUGAAGGGCAAGAUGAAGAAUGAACGUUCCCUUGGCUCAACUUCACGGCUCUAGAAGCAGCGGGCCAGUUUCCCCAGGUCCCACAGACACCCCACCAAACUUCUUUCCCUACAUGUCUUUUUGGGGGAGGGGGAGAGGCAUAGAAAACAGCCACACUUGACAUGCUUCUUGUUUGGUUUUUUGAAGGCGGCCCAUUGGAAUGGAGGGUUGUUCCAGGAGAGUCCCGCACCCACGUGGGACAUGAGGAUUGGUGACCUUCUCCCAUCCCUGGACCUUUGCCCCUGGAGCCUAGGUGGGUGUGGCUGCAUGUGGGGGUGGCACAGGGCAGGGGUGGUGGUGGUGGGGGGUGAAUGCAUUUGGAUGCCCUCACAGCCAGAUGGCAGGAGAUGGCUUUAGCGUCUGGGCUGACUUGCUGGGCCACAUUGGGCUACAAUCCCAGCCUGACUGGAUCCCAGAAUCUCUGCAGGUUCCGUGGGCGCUGUCACUUCUGCAUCUCUUCCAAGAGAGGCCGUUUACGUAUUCAUCCUGGAUUCUGUGCCUCCCGGGGGGUGCCCUAUGCUCCUCUUUGUCCACGUGUGCAUUCAUGGCGCACGUUGUAGGGGGCAUCAGAGAGCAAGACCUGCUGUGAACAUGAGGUGCCGGGGCCAAGUGGGUACAAGACACCAGGGCCAGACUUCCCACAUAUGCCCCCUAGCUCGGCAUCUUCUUAGCUGUGUGGCUACUUAAGUAACUAAGAAGUCGCUUGACUUCUUUGAGGCUCCAUUCCCUCAUAUGUAAGAUGGGGCUAAAAUAUCACCUUUUCCCUGAGGCUUUCUUCUUCUUGUUUUCUAUGCCUGUUUCCCACUGUAUCUGUCUCCAAGUUUUUUUGUUUUUGCCUUUUUAGGGCCGCACCCGUGGCAUAUGGACGUUCCCAGGCUAGGAGCUACUUCAGAGCUGUAGCUGCCGGCCUACCCCACAGCCACAGCCACGCGGGCUCUGAGCUGUGUCUGCAGCUCACGGCAACGCUGGAUCCUGAACCCUCUGAGGGGGGCCAGGGAUCGAACCCGCGUCCUCCUGCAUACUCGUCGGGUUUGUUAGCGCCGAGCCACGACGGGAGCUCCUCUCCAAGGUUCUCAUCCCCAUCUCCUACCCCGCACGUUGUACUUACUUAUUUUGAGUAUCGUCUGUUGCGUCUCCUCCUCCCCCCAGGAUGUUCGUGCUCAGGUUUUGUCUGCUGGCUCGCCGGCACCCAGACCCGUGCCUGGCGCAGGACGCGCGCUCCAGACCUUAGUGGAGGAGCCGAGAAGGGCUGCUGUUGGGUGGUCCGCAUCCCAGAGGAUCUUCUGUGCAGGCCGGGCAGGCCGCGCGGCGCCUGGUGGAGAGAGUGUGCUCAAUAAAGACCAGCUACUUGUGAUCA